AAAAAAUCGAGCUGGGGGGUUCCCUGGUCCCUGGCGAUGGGGCGGAGAGCGCGGCGCCAGGGGAGGGGGCGGGCGCGGCAGCGCGGGCCCCGCCGACAGGGGACACCUGGCUGAGGCACAGCUGCUGCCCGCCGCGCCGCGCCGCUCCGCGCGAACCCAGGGCUCCGGUCCCUGCGCGGGCUCGAGAGCUCGCCCCGACCGGGGGUCUUCCUCCUCCGCCGUUGACAGGUGAAUAACAACAAAAUGAAGACCAUAAUAAAACAAGCCCCCUACUUAGCCCUGCAAUUCUUACCUUGUUUAAGUUGAUGCCAAAUAAUUCCAAUAUUGAGCAUCUUAAAUCUGUUACUUGGAGUAUGGAUUGAGUUUGGAGCUAACUCAGAGGACUACAGGCAAGUAUUCAGGAGGUAGUCAGAGGGAUAUCUUAAUAGUUGAACAAUUCAGCUUGCAUACU